UACGUAGGGACCAAGCGUUGUUCGGAUUUACUGGGCGUAAAGGGCGCGUAGGCGGCGUGUCAAGUCAAUUGUGAAAUCUCCGAGCUUAACUCGGAACUGCCAAUUGAUACUGAUGUGCUAGAGUGCAGAAAGGGCAAUCGGAAUUCUUGGUGUAGCGGUGAAAUGCGUAGAUAUCAAGAGGAACACCUGAGGCGAAGGCGGGUUGCUAGGCUGACACUGACGCUGAGGCGCGAAAGCUAGGGUAGCAAACGGG
rnacentral:rRNA from 1 species